rnacentral:rRNA from 1 species
CCCCUAGAUGUUCUGGGCCGCACGCGCGCUACACUGAACAGUUCAACAAGUCUUAACCUUGGCCGAUAGGUCUGGGUAAUCUUUGAACGCUGUUCGUGAUUGGGAUAGACCUUUGCAAUUAUCGGUCUUCAACGAGGAAUUCCUAGUAAACGCAAGUCAUCAGCUUGCAUUGAUUACGUCCCUGCCCUUUGUACACACCGCCCGUCGCACCUACCGAUUGAAUGGUCCGGUGAAAUCUCGGGACGGCGGCUUGGUCGCUUGCGUCCGACUGCUGAAACUUGAUUAAACCAUAUCAUUUAGAGGAAGGUGAAGUCGUAACA